rnacentral:tRNA from 1 species
UCCUCUAUGCUCUAGUGGCUACGAUUUCACAUUCUCAUUGUGAAGGCCCGGAUUCGAUUCCCUGUGGAGGAA